rnacentral:rRNA from 1 species
CCCUUAGAUGUUCUGGGCAGCACGCGCGCUACAAUGGUCUUCGCAAACGGAUGCAUUCUCGAAGGAGAAUGCCAAUCUUGGAAUCUAUGCCUUGGUCGGGACAGUUGCUUGCAAUUUUUCGACUCGAACCAGGAAUUCCUUGUAAUCGUGAUUCAUCACAUCACGAUGAAUACGUCCCUGCCCUUUGUACACACCGCCCGUCGCUCCUACCGAUCGAAGAGUUAGGUGAAUUGUUUUGAUCGAUAAGAUUAGACUAUGGUCAACUCUCGUUGUGAAAUUCUGUGAAUCUGACUGUUUAGAGGAAGGAAAAGUCGUAACA